AUUGAUCAGGACGUGCUUGCACUGAAUGAGAUUUUAACACGAAGUGAGUGGCGGACGGGUGAGUAACACGUGGGUAACCUGCCCAGAAGCAGGGGAUAACACCUGGAAACAGAUGCUAAUACCGUAUAACAGAGAAAACCGCCUGGUUUUCUUUUAAAAGAUGGCUCUGCUAUCACUUCUGGAUGGACCCGCGGCGCAUUAGCAAGUUGGUGAGGUAACGGCUCACCAAGGCGAUGAUGCGUAGCCGACCUGAGAGGGUAAUCGGCCACAUUGGGACUGAGACACGGCCCAGACUCCUACGGGAGGCAGCAGUAGGGAAUCUUCCACAAUGGACGCAAGUCUGAUGGAGCAACGCCGCGUGAGUGAAGAAGGGUUUCGGCUCGUAAAGCUCUGUUGUUAAAGAAGAACGUGGGUGAGAGUAACUGUUCACCCAGUGACGGUAUUUAACCAGAAAGCCACGGCUAACUACGUGCCAGCAGCCGCGGUAAUACGUAGGUGGCAAGCGUUAUCCGGAUUUAUUGGGCGUAAAGCGAGCGCAGGCGGUCUUUUAAGUCUAAUGUGAAAGCCUUCGGCUCAACCGAAGAAGUGCAUUGGAAACUGGGAGACUUGAGUGCAGAAGAGGACAGUGGAACUCCAUGUGUAGCGGUGAAAUGCGUAGAUAUAUGGAAGAACACCAGUGGCG
rnacentral:rRNA from 1 species